rnacentral:antisense_RNA from 1 species
CUUCAGCGAACCCAGCCAGAGCGGCCGUUGGGCCGGACGGUCCUGUCCAUAGGUGGCCAGCAGGGCCUCCGCCUC